rnacentral:rRNA from 1 species
UAGGGAAUCUUCCGCAAUGGACGCAAGUCUGACGGAGCAACGCCGCGUGAGUGAAGAAGGAUUUCGGUUCGUAAAACUCUGUUGUUAGAGAAGAACAGCGCAUAGAGUAACUGUUAUGCGUGUGACGGUAUCUAACCAGAAAGCCACGGCUAACUACGUGCCAGCAGCCGCGGUAAUACGUAGGUGGCAAGCGUUGUCCGGAUUUAUUGGGCGUAAAGCGAGCGCAGGCGGUCAAUUAAGUCUGAUGUGAAAGCCCCCGGCUCAACCGGGGAGGGUCAUUGGAAACUGGUUGACUUGCGUGCAGCAGAGGAGAGUGGAAUUCCAUGUGUAGCGGUGAAAUGCGUAGAUAUAUGGAGGAACACCAGUGGCGAAGGCGACUCUCUGGUCUGUAACUGACGCUGAGGCUCGAAAGCGUGGGUAGCAAACAGG